UCUUGCCUGUCAAUAAUUUACCUCAUUUUAGGGACAAUAUCAUAUGUGAUUACAAUCAUAAUAAAAUUUCUUGUUGAAACAAUCUCAUAUGUGAUUACAAUUAUAAUAAUAUCUCUUGUAGGGACAAUAUCAUAUGUGAUUACAAUUAUAAUAAUAUCUCUUCUAGGGAAAAUAUCAUAUGUGAUUACAAUUAUUAUUUUGAUAAACAGAGUGACAGCUGUUUAGAGUGUCCAUUAGGAAGAUUUGGUUUGAACUGCACACAACGAUGCACAUUAGGUUUCUAUGGCCGUCUGUGCACUAGUCCCUGCGGUUGUGAAGCGUACAUAUGCCAUUAUGUAAAUGGGUGUCCAAAAGAUACAACAGAGGUGAAAAAACGUAUAACAGAAGUAACCGAAGAUACUAGGGCAAUUUAAUCAAAUACAACGAAGAGAAUGGAAUCUUCAC